rnacentral:lncRNA from 1 species
UUUGACAAAAUCACCAUAUUCAUUACGAACCAUCGCAGCAAAGGUAGAGACCCGAGCAGUGUGAUCGAUGGCGGCAUCAACGUUACAUUCAACCAAGCCAGCCGGCGGCGGAGACCAAACGGUAGCAGCUGAAAAAGUAGCCAAAGACAACCCUUUGAGCCGGCCAUAGGCGCUCCUCGAGGCUGCCCAAUCCUGCAUGAAACGGGCAGCAAAAGAAACAACCUGUUGCGAAGGCACAAAAGAAGCUUUCCAGACAGCAGAGUUACGAAAAUACCAAAGGCUCCAAAGCGUGACGGCCACCUACUCCAGUCGGUCAACAUCCGAACCCAGCAGCAAACUACAAAGCCAGUCAAACAGGGAGGCUCGGGGCAUCAAUAUUCACCAAAGACCAGACCAAAGCAGCAAACGGACACCCAAGAAACACAUGAUCGAUCUCUUGAUCAGUCCCCGCAGCGAACACAGUCGACAAGGACCGCAGAACCCUUUUCUGCUAACCGACACCAAACCGGCAAAAAAUUCCGCAGACAACGCCAUAUAAAGUCUUUAACCUUAGGCGCUAGGGACGAGUUCCACAAUCUCAGCCAUAGUCCCUCCACCUGCUGCGAACAGCAAGUUUAUAGUUAUAAUUCAGCGUAUAAGUACCUCGACGAUCAAAAUGUCAUAUUCAUCGAUCGGGCACAGAAAAGGAACUUACGGUAAUCGUAGAACACGCGAGGCAUCAGAAGGGGUUAACAAACCAUCAAUAAGCGAAACAUCCCACCCCUUACCAUCGGC